rnacentral:rRNA from 1 species
GACGAACGCUGGCGGCGUGCCUAAUACAUGCAAGUAGAACGCUGAAGGAGGAGCUUGCUUCUCUGGAUGAGUUGCGAACGGGUGAGUAACGCGUAGGUAACCUGCCUGGUAGCGGGGGAUAACUAUUGGAAACGAUAGCUAAUACCGCAUAAUAUUGACUAUUGCAUGAUAGUCAGUUGAAAGGUGCAACUGCACCACUACCAGAUGGACCUGCGUUGUAUUAGCUAGUUGGUGGGGUAACGGCGCACCAAGGCGACGAUACAUAGCCGACCUGAGAGGGUGAGCGGCCACACUGGGACUGAGGCACGGCCCAGACUCCUACGGGAGGCAGCAGUAGGGAAUCUUCGGCAAUGGACGGAAGUCUGACCGAGCAACGACGCGUGAGUGAAGAAGGUUUUCGGAUCGUAAAGCUCUGUUGUAAGAGAAGAACGAGUGUGAGAGUGGAAAGCUCACACUGUGACGGUAUCUUACCAGAAAGGGACGGCUAACUACGUG